rnacentral:rRNA from 1 species
UACGUAGGGUGCGAGCGUUUAAUCGGAAUACUGGGCGUAAAGCGUGCGCAGGCGGUGAGCUGUGUCCGAUGUGAAAGCCCCGGGCUUAACCUGGGAAUGGCAUUGGAAACUGGCUCGCUGGAGUGUGGCAGAGGGGGGUGGAAUUCCGCGUGUAGCAGUGAAAUGCGUAGAGAUGCGGAGGAACACCGAUGGCGAAGGCAGCCCCCUGGGCUAACACUGACGCUCAGGCACGAAAGCGUGGGGAGCAAACAGG